AUAUAUACCAAAAGUAGAGGAGGACAUAUUUGCCAAACCGUUGGAGUAAUAUAGGGGAUGAGUAGUGGGUUUUUUUUGUGGAAGCCUGUAGGCACUGACUGUAACACCCCCGUAACCCAGACUAUCUUCAAACCCGAGUUCGGCGUGUCACGGUAAUACCCAUCAUGUAUAUUCUUAAGUAGUGAAUGUAAUUAAUAUAUUAUUACAUCAAAUCACUGCUAAUCCCAGAUUCUAAGACCUUUACAUCUUUAAAUUAUAAUAUUAAUGAAUAUUACAUCAUAGAAAUAUUACAAUUAAAACAACUAUUACAAUACAAUAUGUAAU
rnacentral:lncRNA from 1 species